AAGGAGCAGCUCUACUGACCGAGACACAGAUCCACCCGCGACCCUCCAUCAAACACCUGCUGAGAAUUACAAACUACUGACACCCAAAAAUGUCUGAAAAAACUACAUUUAACCUACCAUGGACAUAACGAUAAUGAGUUUCUGUAACAAAGCCAACGAGACGUGAGACAUGCGGAUCCAUGUGCGAGCUGAGAUGUGAAGUGACUCUGGAUGAUCAGCUGAGACGUGACAGCUGAGACGGCCCAGUUGAUGUGAAAUUAGGACUUGGAGUCGACACGGGUGGAUAUAUUGGUUUGGGUGGGUUGGAGGCCAAAAUACUGGGAUUUGGAUUCUCAAUUGGUCCAAAAACCAGUAUAUCUCUUCUGGGUUCAGAAUUGUCACUUUCACUCUAGUCACACAGGUAUCAAUAACCUUUGAAUAUUUACAUGUAACAUGUUACUAUGUCUAAAUUUAUCCUAAAAAUCCAUUUACUGUCUCAGUUUUGACUGCUCUCAUUAGGAGUCGUCACAGCGGAUCGUCUGGACAUCUAUUUGUCGCAGGUUUUCAUGUCACAACCUAAAACUGACAUCCUGAAAACCAUCAACUACUACUAAUAUUUAACCCACUUAAUGAAUCAUUCAAAUUGUUCUCUAUAUUUAAACAUGACUGUUAUAGUUGCAUAUCACUUUUUAUAAUUCAUAUAUAUCUCCAAUGUAUACAAUUAUCACAUUGUAAGACUAUUUUUCUAUAUUCCUGUCCCCAUUUAGGAACAUGUACCUUGUUAUCUGUCAAAAUGUCAACUAUUAAACUCAGACUUGUUUGUCUAA